rnacentral:rRNA from 1 species
GACGGACGCUGGCGGCGUGCUUAACACAUGCAAGUCGAACGAAGAGCGACGGAAGCUUGCUUCUAUCAAUCUUAGUGGCGAACGGGUGAGUAACGCGUAAUCAACCUGCCCUUCAGAGGGGGACAACAGUUGGAAACGACUGCUAAUACCGCAUACGAUCUAACCUCGGCAUCGAGGAUAGAUGAAAGGUGGCCUCUACAUGUAAGCUAUCACUGAAGGAGGGGAUUGCGUCUGAUUAGCUAGUUGGAGGGGUAACGGCCCACCAAGGCGAUGAUCAGUAGCCGGUCUGAGAGGAUGAACGGCCACAUUGGGACUGAGACACGGCCCAGACUCCUACGGGAGGCAGCAGUGGGGAAUCUUCCGCAAUGGACGAAAGUCUGACGGAGCAACGCCGCGUGAGUGAUGACGGCCUUCGGGUUGUAAAGCUCUGUUAAUCGGGACGAAAGGCCUUCUUGCGAAUAGUGAGAAGGAUUGACGGUACCGGAAUAGAAAGCCACGGCUAACUACGUG